rnacentral:rRNA from 1 species
GAUGAACGCUAGCUACAGGCUUAACACAUGCAAGUCGAGGGGAAACGAUAGAGAAAGCUUGCUUUUUCUAGGCGUCGACCGGCGCACGGGUGAGUAACGCGUAUCCAACCUGCCCACCACUUGGGGAUAACCUUGCGAAAGUAAGACUAAUACCCAAUGACGUCUCUAGAAGACAUCUGAAAGGGAUUAAAGAUUUAUCGGUGAUGGAUGGGGAUGCGUCUGAUUAGCUUGUUGGCGGGGUAACGGCCCACCAAGGCAACGAUCAGUAGGGGUUCUGAGAGGAAGGUCCCCCACAUUGGAACUGAGACACGGUCCAAACUCCUACGGGAGGCAGCAGUGAGGAAUAUUGGUCAAUGGGCGGAAGCCUGAACCAGCCAAGUAGCGUGCAGGACGACGGCCCUAUGGGUUGUAAACUGCUUUCAGUCGGGAAUAAUUCGUCGGUCGUGACCGACGUUGCAGGUACCGUCAUAAGAAGGACCGGCUAAUCCGUG